rnacentral:rRNA from 1 species
UACGGAAGGCAGCAGUGGGAAUAUUGCCACAAUGGGCGCAACGACCGUGAUGCGAGCCGAUGCCGCGUGUAUGAAGAAGGCCUUCGGGUUGUAAAGUACUUUCAGUCGUGAGGAAGGUGUUAAGGUUAAUAACCUUAGCAAUUGACGUUAGCGACAGAAGAAGCACCGGCUAACUCCGUGCCAGCAGCCGCGGUAAUACGGAGGGUGCGAGCGUUAAUCGGAAUUACUGGGCGUAAAGGGCACGCAGGCGGUUAAUUAAGUUGGAUGUGAAAUCCCCGGGCUUAACCUGGGAAUGGCAUUCAAGACUGGUUAGCUAGAGUCUUGUAGAGGGGGUAGAAUUCCAUGUGUAGCGGUGAAAUGCGUAGAGAUGUGGAGGAAUACCGGUGGCGAAGGGCGGCCCCCUGGGACAAAAGACUGACGCUCAUGUGCGAAAGCGUGGGGAGCAAACAGGAUUAGAUACC